UAGCUUGCUAAUGAAAUUCUUAGUGGCGGACGGGUUAGUAACACGUGAGAAUCCUACCCUUAAGUGGGGAAUAGCCUUUCGAAAGGAAGAUUAAUGCCCCAUGGUCUCUACGGAGUAAAGAUGCCUUCGGGUGUCGCUUAAGGAUGGGCUCGCGGCCUAUCAGCUAGUUGGUGAGGUAAGAGCUCACCAAGGCAACGACGGGUAGCUGGUCUGAGAGGACGAUCAGCAACACUGGAACUGAGACACGGUCCAGACACCUACGGGUGGCAGCAGUCGAGAAUCAUUCACAAUGGACGAAAGUCUGAUGGUGCAACGCCGCGUGGAGGAUGACGGCCCUAGGGUUGUAAACUCCUGUCAUCAGGGAGUAAGACUUAUUCGUUAAUAGCGUGUAAGUUUGAUAGUACCUGAAGAGGAAGGGACGGCUAACUUCGUGCCAGCAGCCGCGGUAAUACGAAGGUCCCAAGCGUUGUUCGGAAUAACUGGGCGUAAAGCGUGUGUAGGCCGCGCGGAAAGUCGGAUGUGAAAGCCCAAGGCUUAACCUUGGAACUGCAUUCGAUACUCCCGUGCUAGAGUAAUGGAGAGGUAAGUGGAAUUCUCGGUGUAGCAGUGAAAUGCGUAGAUAUCGAGAGGAACAUCAAUGGCGAAGGCAACUUACUGGACAUUUACUGACGCUCAGACACGAAGGCUAGGGGAGCGAAAGGGAUUAGAUACCCCUGUAGUCCUAGCAGUAAACGGUGCUCGC
rnacentral:rRNA from 1 species